ensembl:snRNA U1 U1 spliceosomal RNA
AUACUUACCUGGCAGAGGAGACAUGCUGAUCCUGAAGGGGUCUUCCCAGGACAAGGCUCACCCAUCACACUCCAGAUGUGCCGGGCCCUGUGAUUUCCCCAAAUGUGGAAAACUCAACUGUAUAAUGUGUGGUAGUUGGGGUCUGUGUUCACGCUCUCCCCUA